CCUACGGGAGGCAGCAGUGGGGAAUUUUGGACAAUGGGCGCAAGCCUGAUCCAGCAAUGCCGCGUGAGUGAAGAAGGCCUUCGGGUUGUAAAGCUCUUUUGUCAGGGAAGAAACGGUGGGAGCUAAUAUCUCCUACUAAUGACGGUACCUGAAGAAUAAGCACCGGCUAACUACGUGCCAGCAGCCGCGGUAAUACGUAGGGUGCAAGCGUUAAUCGGAAUUACUGGGCGUAAAGCGUGCGCAGGCGGUUUUGUAAGUCUGUCGUGAAAGCCCCGGGCUCAACCUGGGAAUUGCGAUGGAGACUGCAAGGCUUGAAUCUGGCAGAGGGGGGUAGAAUUCCACGUGUAGCAGUGAAAUGCGUAGAGAUGUGGAGGAACACCGAUGGCGAAGGCAGCCCCCUGGGUCAAGAUUGACGCUCAUGCACGAAAGCGUGGGGAGCAAACAGGAUUAGAUACCCUGGUAGUCCACGCCCUAAACGAUGUCUACUAGUUGUCGGGUUUUAAUUAACUUGGUAACGCAGCUAACGCGUGAAGUAGACCGCCUGGGGAGUACGGUCGCAAGAUUAAAAACUCAAAGGAAUUGACGG
rnacentral:rRNA from 1 species